rnacentral:rRNA from 1 species
GAUGAACGCUGGCGGCGUGCCUAAUACAUGCAAGUCGAGCGAACGGACGAGAAGCUUGCUUCUCUGAUGUUAGCGGCGGACGGGUGAGUAACACGUGGAUAACCUACCUAUAAGACUGGGAUAACUUCGGGAAACCGGAUCUAAUACAGGAUAAUAUUUUGAACCGCAUGGUUCAAAAGUGAAAGCCGGUCUUGCUGUCACUAAUAGGGGGAUCCGCGCUGCAUUAGCUAGUUGGUAAGGUAACGGCUUACCAAGGCAACGAUGCAUAGCCGACCUGAGAGGGUGAUCGGCCACACUGGAACUGAGACACGGUCCAGACUCCUACGGGAGGCAGCAGUAGGGAAUCUUCCGCAAUGGGCGAAAGCCUGACGGAGCAACGCCGCGUGAGUGAUGAAGGUCUUCGGAUCGUAAAACUCUGUUAUUUGGGAAGAACAUAUGUGUAAGUAACUGUGCACAUCUUGACGGUACCUAAUCAGAAAGCCACGGCUAACUACGUG